AUCGCUUCUCGGCCUUUUGGCUAAGAUCAAGUGUAAAAGUAAAUUAUAUUAGUUAUAAAAUUUUUAAAUACAGAGAAAACAAGAAUAAGUAAUCAUGUAUAAUCCUACUGGAGAGAAAACGCCUCUCUUGUAUGUUUAAACUCA
rnacentral:snRNA from 1 species